rnacentral:rRNA from 1 species
CCUACGGGGGGCAGCAGUGGGGAAUAUUGGACAAUGGGGGCAACCCUGAUCCAGCCAUGCCGCGUGUGUGAAGAAGGCCCUCGGGUUGUAAAGCACUUUCAGCGAGGAAGAACGCCUGGUGGUUAAUACCCAUCAGGAAAGACAUCACUCACAGAAGAAGCACCGGCUAACUCCGUGCCAGCAGCCGCGGUAAUACGGAGGGUGCGAGCGUUAAUCGGAAUUACUGGGCGUAAAGCGCGCGUAGGUGGCUUGAUAAGCCGGUUGUGAAAGCCCCGGGCUCAACCUGGGAACGGCAUCCGGAACUGUCAAGCUAGAGUGCAGGAGAGGAAGGUAGAAUUCCCGGUGUAGCGGUGAAAUGCGUAGAGAUCGGGAGGAAUACCAGUGGCGAAGGCGGCCUUCUGGACUGACACUGACACUGAGGUGCGAAAGCGUGGGUAGCAAACAGGAUUAGAUACCCUAGUAGUC